GACGAACGCUGGCGGCGUGCUUAACACAUGCAAGUCGAGCGGUAAGGCCCUUUCGGGGGUACACGAGCGGCGAACGGGUGAGUAACACGUGGGUGACCUGCCCUUAGCUCUGGGAUAAGCCUGGGAAACUGGGUCUAAUACCGGAUAUGACUCCAUGACGCAUGUUGUGGGGUGGAAAGCCUUGUGCGGCUAGGGAUGGGCCCGCGGCCUAUCAGCUUGUUGGUGGGGUGAUGGCCUACCGAGGCGACGACGGGUAGCCGGCCUGAGAGGGCGACCGGCCACACUGGGACUGAGACACGGCCCAGACUCCUACGGGAGGCAGCAGUGGGGAAUCUUGCGCAAUGGGCGAAAGCCUGACGCAGCGACGCCGCGUGGGGAUGACGGCCU
rnacentral:rRNA from 1 species